AUUGAACGCUGGCGGCAGGCCUAACACAUGCAAGUCGAACGGUAACAGGAAGCAGCUUGCUGCUUCGCUGACGAGUGGCGGACGGGUGAGUAAUGUCUGGGCAACUGCCUGAUGGAGGGGGAUAACUACUGGAAACGGUAGCUAAUACCGCAUAACGUCGCAAGACCAAAGAGGGGGACCUUAGGGCCUCUUGCCAUCGGAUGUGCCCAGAUGGGAUUAGCUAGUAGGUGGGGUAACGGCUCACCUAGGCGACGAUCCCUAGCUGGUCUGAGAGGAUGACCAGCCACACUGGAACUGAGACACGGUCCAGACUCCUACGGGAGGCAGCAGUGGGGAAUAUUGCACAAUGGGCGCAAGCCUGAUGCAGCCAUGCCGCGUGUAUGAAGAAGGCCUUCGGGUUGUAAAGUACUUUCAGCGGGGAGGAAGGGAGUAAAGUUAAUACCUUUGCUCAUUGACGUUACCCGCAGAAGAAGCACCGGCUAACUCCGUG
rnacentral:rRNA from 1 species